ACAUUGCUGAGGAGUCCCACAACAGGACAAAACGGCCGUCCAAUGG
rnacentral:hammerhead_ribozyme from 1 species